CUAUGUUAUGAAUAUAACAUGGCGGAAGGAG
rfam:Mycoplasma sp. CAG:956 genomic scaffold, scf103